ACACCCGGAGAACUGAAACAUCUUAGUACCCGGAGGAAGAGAAAGAAAAUUCGAUUCCCUUAGUAGCGGCGAGCGAAACGGGAAGAGCCCAAACCAAAAAGCUUGCUUGUUGGGGUUGUAGGACACUCUAUACGGAGUUACAAAGGACGACAUUAGACGAAUCAUCUGGAAAGAUGAAUCAAAGAAGGUAAUAAUCCUGUAGUCGAAAAUGUUGUCUCUCUUGAGUGGAUCCUGAGUACGACGGAGCACGUGAAAUUCCGUCGGAAUCUGGGAGGACCAUCUCCUAAGGCUAAAUACUCUCUAGUGACCGAUAGUGAACCAGUACCGUGAGGGAAAGGUGAAAAGCACCCCGGAAGGAGAGUGAAAUAGAACCUGAAACCGUGUGCUUACAAGUAGUCAGAGCCCGUUAAUGGGUGAUGGCGUGCCUUUUGUAGAAUGAACCGGCGAGUUACGAUUUGAUGCAAGGUUAAGCAGUAAAUGUGGAGCCGUAGCGAAAGCGAGUCUGAAUAGGGCGUUUAGUAUUUGGUCGUAGACCCGAAACCAGGUGAUCUACCCUUGGUCAGGUUGAAGUUCAGGUAACACUGAAUGGAGGACCGAACCGACUUACGUUGAAAAGUGAGCGGAUGAACUGAGGGUAGCGGAGAAAUUCCAAUCGAACCUGGAGAUAGCUGGUUCUCUCCGAAAUAGCUUUAGGGCUAGCCUCAAGUGAUGAUUAUUGGAGGUAGAGCACUGUUUGGACGAGGGGCCCCUCUCGGGUUACCGAAUUCAGACAAACUCCGAAUGCCAAUUAAUUUAACUUGGGAGUCAGAACAUGGGUGAUAAGGUCCGUGUUCGAAAGGGAAACAGCCCAGACCACCAGCUAAGGUCCCAAAAUAUAUGUUAAGUGGAAAAGGAUGUGGCGUUGCCCAGACAACUAGGAUGUUGGCUUAGAAGCAGCCAUCAUUUAAAGAGUGCGUAAUAGCUCACUAGUCGAGUGACACUGCGCCGAAAAUGUACCGGGGCUAAACAUAUUACCGAAGCUGUGGAUUGUCCUUUGGACAAUGGUAGGAGAGCGUUCUAAGGGCGUUGAAGCAUGAUCGUAAGGACAUGUGGAGCGCUUAGAAGUGAGAAUGCCGGUGUGAGUAGCGAAAGACGGGUGAGAAUCCCGUCCACCGAUUGACUAAGGUUUCCAGAGGAAGGCUCGUCCGCUCUGGGUUAGUCGGGUCCUAAGCUGAGGCCGACAGGCGUAGGCGAUGGAUAACAGGUUGAUAUUCCUGUACCACCUAUAAUCGUUUUAAUCGAUGGGGGGACGCAGUAGGAUAGGCGAAGCGUGCGAUUGGAUUGCACGUCUAAGCAGUAAGGCUGAGUAUUAGGCAAAUCCGGUACUCGUUAAGGCUGAGC
rnacentral:rRNA from 1 species